rnacentral:rRNA from 1 species
GCUAGUUGUAUUAUUAGUUAAUGCAAGAUCGACUACGUCGACUAAAGUUCUAGGUAGAAUAAUGAUGAUGACAAUUUUUUACCUAUAUGUCUUGACCAAGUCUCGUGCCAGCAGUCGCGGUAAUACGUGGAAGACUAGUGUUAUUCAUCUUUAUUAGGUUUAAAGGGUACCUAGACGGUAUUUCUAGCCCAAAAUAGGGUACGGAUUUACUAGAGUUUUAUGUGAGGAGGGGAGUACUCAUGGAGUAGAGAUGAAAUUUUGUUAUACUAUGAGGUAACUGGUGGCGGCGAAAGCAACCUUCUAUGUAUAAACUGACGUUGAGGGACGAAGGCUUGGGUAGCAAAUAGGAUUAGAUACCCUAGUAGUCCAAGCAGACAAUUCUGAAUGCCAUAGAUUAGAUUAUUUUUGGUCUAUAAAUGAAAGUGUAAGCAUUCCACCUUAGGAGUAAUGUGGCAACACAGGAACUGAAAUCAUUAGACCGUUUCUGAAACCAGUAGUGAAGUAUGUUAUUUAAAUUGAUGGUCCACAAAAAACCUUACCACAACUUGAAUAUUUUUUUAAUUAAUACAAGCGUUGCACGGCUGUCUUCAGUUAAUGUCGUGAGAUUUUGGUUAACUCCAUUAAUUAACGUAAACCCUUACUUU